rnacentral:rRNA from 1 species
GACGAACGCUGGCGGCGUGCUUAACACAUGCAAGUCGAACGGAAAGGCCCGGCUUUUGUGGGGUGCUCGAGUGGCGAACGGGUGAGUAACACGUGAGUAACCUGCCCUUGACUUUGGGAUAACUUCAGGAAACUGGGGCUAAUACCGGAUAGGAGCUCCUGCUGCAUGGGGGGGGGUGGAAAGUUUCGGCGGUGGGGGAUGGACUCGCGGCUUAUCAGCUUGUUGGUGGGGUAGUGGCUGACCAAGGCUUUGACGGGUAGCCGGCCUGAGAGGGUGGCCGGCCACAUUGGGACUGAGAUACGGCCCAGACUCCUACGGGAGGCAGCAGUGGGGAAUAUUGCACAAUGGGCGGAAGCCUGAUGCAGCAACGCCGCGUGCGGGAUGACGGCCUUCGGGUUGUAAACCGCUUUCGCCUGUGACGAAGCGUGCGUGACGGUAAUGGGUAAAGAAGCACCGGCUAACUACGUG